UGUGAUACUGAAUUACUGAUUAAUAUUAUCUGUGGGAGAGUCACACCAUGAAAACUAGUCAUUGUGGUUGGAGAGACCCAAUACAUAUAAACCCACAUUGAAAUCCCAUACUUCCGAUGUGGUUGCAACUGGAUCCUAACAACUGCGCUAGGAGUUCGCACAUUGUCCAGUUAUAAAAUGAAAGCUAUGUACCCUGUGGAAAAUCUAGAAAAUGAAAGAUAACUUGAGAAUACUAUGCACAGGAUCUAACUCCUUUCCGAAAGGCAAUAGGCAAAGUCAAGACCAUCAUUUGCAGCAUUAUCGAUAUUAUCAAGAUCAUCAAUUGUACAGUUACCUUUUUCUUGGAUUUUGCAAGAUUCAGCUCUGGAUUCAGCAGUUGGCAUUGCAUAGGAACACAAGGUUUCCUUGUGAAAAAUCUAAGUUCACCUUAGGGUCUUUGUUCUAAUUCUCCACCUUGACCUAUAACUUGUGAUGGUUCAACUUCAGAUGGGAAGGGAAAUCCUUUUGUGUUGUGGUAGAGAGAGAAAGAAAGAUGGAAAGAACCCAAAUUCCCAAUGUUGAGCAUCGGUCAUGUUGUCCCCCAAAAGUGUAUCAUCAAGAAAGAGAGGGAUUGAUGUUCAAGGAAGGUAGUACCAUAGGAUACGUACAACUGUUGGGAUUUGGGGCAAUAACAGUUAUACCCUUUUUGUGUGGUAGAAUAAUCAAGGAAUAUGCAUUUAUGGGAUUUUGGAUCAAUGUUUCUCAGUUGGGAUCCAAGUUGUGAACAAAGACAGUACAGACUGUACAGCCAACUUUUGUCUGUGGAGAGACUAAAGCAUUUUAACAGGGAAAGUUUUUUUAGACAGUUAGAGCAAUGUAAGUAAAGAGGUUUCAAAAGAAGGUGGUUUAUAAGGUAGGUAGCAGUUAACAUUAACCCUAGAAAUGGUUGGGGACAUUUGAGAGGAACAUGAGAGAGCGGGCAACCUCAAGACAGCAAAACCUAAUGUGUCUAGGUACUUUUUAAUAAACAUUGUGUUGUGUCAGAAUCAGAGUGCCUAGAUCCAUGUUUGUAAUGCCCACACCAACCCAGUCCAUCUAGUAAAAAUUAACAUCCAACAAUGCUACCUCAAAGAGAUACAUGUCAUGAGGGAUGCAACAAGUAACUAUUCUCAUAUUCGAGCUUGGAAUCAUGAACCCAGAUCUAAGAGCAAUAAUAUUUUAACAUGUCAUCUAUAAGGAUC
rnacentral:lncRNA from 1 species